UCAGACAUGGUGUAGGGAACACUGUCUCGAAGCAUACACAUCAAUGUAAGAUGCGAGGUCGUCCCAGGUUCGAUUCCUGGUGUCUGAA